CACAAGCGGUGGAUGAUGUGGAUUAAUUCGAUGCAACGCGAAAACCUUACCUACCCUUGACAUGCCAGGAACUUGCCAGAGAUGGCUUGGUGCCCGAAAGGGAGCCUGGACACAGGUGCUGCAUGGCUGUCGUCAGCUCGUGUCGUGAGAUGUUGGGUUAAGUCCCGCAACGAGCGCAACCCUUGUCAUUAGUUGCCAUCAUUCAGUUGGGCACUCUAAUGAGACUGCCGGUGACAAACCGGAGGAAGGUGGGGAUGACGUCAAGUCCUCAUGGCCCUUAUGGGUAGGGCUUCACACGUCAUACAAUGGUCGGUACAGAGGGUUGCCAAGCCGCGAGGUGGAGCCAAUUCCAGAAAGCCGAUCGUAGUCCGGAUUGGAGUCUGCAACUCGACUCCAUGAAGUCGGAAUCGCUAGUAAUCGUGGAUCAGCAUGUCACGGUGAAUACGUUCCCGGGUCUU
rnacentral:rRNA from 1 species